UACGGAGGGUCCAAGCGUUAUCCGGAAUCAUUGGGUUUAAAGGGUCCGUAGGCGGUUUUGUAAGUCAGUGGUGAAAGCCCAUCGCUCAACGGUGGAACGGCCAUUGAUACUGCAAGACUUGAAUUAUUGGGAAGCAACUAGAAUAUGUAGUGUAGCGGUGAAAUGCUUAGAGAUUACAUGGAAUACCAAUUGCGAAGGCAGGUUGCUACCAAUACAUUUGACGCUGAUGGACGAAAGCGUGGGGAGCGAACGAGGAUU
rnacentral:rRNA from 1 species